rnacentral:rRNA from 1 species
UACGUAGGGGGCAAGCGUUGUCCGGAAUCAUUGGGCGUAAAGAGCGUGUAGGCGGUCCGGUAAGUCGGCUGUGAAAGUCCAGGGCUCAACCCUGGGAUGCCGGUGGAUACUGCCGGACUAGAGUUCGGAAGAGGCGAGUGGAAUUCCCGGUGUAGCGGUGAAAUGCGCAGAUAUCGGGAGGAACACCUAUGGCGAAGGCAGCUCGCUGGGACGUUACUGACGCUGAGA